GCUCAGGAUGAACGCUAGCUACAGGCUUAACACAUGCAAGUCGAGGGGUAGCAGGGUAGCAAUACCGCUGACGACCGGCGCACGGGUGAGUAACACGUAUCCAACCUACCGUCUACUCGGGGAUAGCCUUUCGAAAGAAAGAUUAAUACCCGAUAGUAUAAAGAGUUCGCAUGUUCUCUUUAUUAAAGGAUUCCGGUAAACGAUGGGGAUGCGUUCCAUUAGAUUGUUGGCGGGGUAACGGCCCACCAAGUCUUCGAUGGAUAGGGGUUCUGAGAGGAAGGUCCCCCACAUUGGAACUGAGACACGGUCCAAACUCCUACGGGAGGCAGCAGUGAGGAAUAUUGGUCAAUGGGCGCUAGCCUGAACCAGCCAA
rnacentral:rRNA from 1 species